GUGUAGAAAAUAUACAAAAACAAAAAAAAACGUGGUGAAAAUUUUAAAAACCAAUAUAAAAGUGUUGUGGCUGCAAAGACGAAAACUUAAAAACCAACCCCUGGAUAAGGUACGCCAAGAAAAAAAUGAAAAAGUGACCUUAUUACAUAAUUCCAUGUAUGUACUGUACAUAGGUUAUGAUCCACGUGUGGCAGGAAAUUGCUGACCUGGCCUGACCCUCGGUCUCGGAGGGGGGGUCCGCUCCAGUACCACGAUAAUCCGUCCCUCUUUUUGGUGCCACCGGAUCUUGCCUGCAGGCGAAAAAACGGAUGGACUUGGCGAUCGGGACCGAGUUGUUUAUAUACAUAUAUCUCACGCGCAACUAUAAAACCAUCUAUUAUAUUAUAUCACCGCGCCUUGUGUAAAGAAAUGUUGGUGCUUGCAUAUGUAGGGUGUGGAAAAAUUAGCUCAGCGGUUAUUGCCCUUGCGGCUGACCAUACACCUAUGUGCACUUAAAUAGACC
rnacentral:lncRNA from 1 species